rnacentral:rRNA from 1 species
AACGAACGCUGGCGGCAUGCCUAACACAUGCAAGUCGAACGAGACCUUCGGGUCUAGUGGCGCACGGGUGCGUAACGCGUGGGAACCUGCCCUUAGGUUCGGAAUAACUCCCCGAAAGGGGUGCUAAUACCGGAUAAUGUCUUCGGACCAAAGAUUUAUCGCCUUUGGAUGGGCCCGCGUUGGAUUAGCUAGUUGGUAGGGUAAAAGCCUACCAAGGCGACGAUCCAUAGCUGGUCUGAGAGGAUGAUCAGCCACACUGGGACUGAGACACGGCCCAGACUCCUACGGGAGGCAGCAGUGGGGAAUAUUGGACAAUGGGCGAAAGCCUGAUCCAGCAAUGCCGCGUGAGUGAUGAAGGCCUUAGGGUUGUAAAGCUCUUUUACCCGGGAUGGUAAUGACAGUACCGGGAGAAUAAGCUCCGGCUAACUACGUG